ACUGACCCACUGGGUUCAGCCCAGACCGUAGACUGUGUUGACCCACUGGGUUCAGCCCAGACCGUAGACUGACCCACUGGGUUCAGCCCAGACCGUAAACUGUGCUGACCCACUGGGUUCAGCCCAGACCGUAGACUGUGUUGACCCACUGGGUUCAGCCCAGACCGUAGACUGACCCACUGGGUUCAGCCCAGACCGUAGACUGACCCACUGGGUUCAGCCCAGACCGUAGACUGACCCACUGGGUUCAGCCCAGACCGUAUACUGUGUUGACCCACUGGGUUCACUGGGUUCAGACCCAGUUCACAGACCGUAUACUGACCCACUGGGUUCAGCCCAGACCGUAAACUGUGUUGACCCACUGGGUUCAGCCCAGAUGACCCACUGGGUUCAGCCCAGACUGACCCACUGGGUUCAGCCCAGAUCGUAGACUGUGUUGACCCACUGGGUUCAGCCCAGACCGUAGACUGUGUUGACCCACUGGGUUCAGCCCAGACCGUAGACUGACCCACUGGGUUCAGCCCAGACCGUAGACUGACCCACUGGGUUCAGCCCAGAUCGUAGACUGUACUGACCCACUGGGUUCAGCCCAGACCGUAGACUGUGUUGACCCACUGGGUUCAGCCCAGACCCUAGACUGUGUUGACCCACUGGGUUCAGGGUUCAGCCACUGGGUUCAGACCGUGAGACCGACCCACUGGGUUCAGCCCAGACCGUAGACUGUGUUGACCCACUGGGUUCAGCCCAGACCCUAGACUGACCCACUGGGUUCAGCCCAGACCGUAGACUGACCCACUGGGUUCAGUCCAGACCGUAGACUGACCCAGUGGGUUCAGCCCAGACCGUAGACUGACCCACUGGGUUCAGCCCAGACCGUAGACUGACCCACUGGGUUCAGCCCAGACCGUAGACUGACCCACUGGGUCGGCCCAGACCGUAGACUGACCCACUGGGUUCAGCCCAGACCGUAGACUGUGUUGACUCACUGGGUUCAGCCCAGACCCUAGACUGACCCACUGGGUUCAGCCCAGACCGUAGACUGUGUUGACCCACUGGGGUCCCACACGACCCAUUGGAGGUGGGUCAUGAACCAAUCCCAGCACCUAACCCUCGGAGAUCUUGGAGCGGGAGAGGAUCAGCCUUCCCAGUGUGCUCACAGUUUUCCUGGGUAACACUGGAAUAGUAUUUUUGGGUCCCGAGAGAACAUUUAAGAUCCCCUGGUAUCACGGCUCCCCUAAAGAGGAAGGUCCACUGGGAACACAGAGGAACGUCGUCGUAGCGACGGAGACGGUAGAGUGAUGGGAACCUGAGGACCUGUGGGGCCUAUAAACAGCUCCGGGCUGGACCGUCCCAUCCGGGUCCUCUGCCGACCUCCUGAUGUGAAGAGAACCCAGAAGAGCAGAGAACCCUAACCCUAACCCAGAAGAGCAGAGAACCCUAACCCUAACCCAGAAGAGCAGAGAACUCUAACCCUAACCCAGAAGAGCAGAGAACCCUAACCCAGAAGAGCAGAGAACCCUAACCCUAACCCAGAAGAGCAGAGAACCCUAACCCAGAAGAGCAGAGAACCCUAACCCUAACCCAGAAGAGCAGAG
ensembl:lncRNA